rnacentral:rRNA from 1 species
UACGUAGGGAGCAAGCGUUGUUCGGAUUUACUGGGCGUAAAGGGCGCGUAGGCGGCAAUUCAAGUCAUCUGUGAAAUCUCCGGGCUUAACUCGGAACGGUCAGAUGAUACUGUCUUGCUAGAGUGCAGAAGGGGCAAUCGGAAUUCUUGGUGUAGCGGUGAAAUGCGUAGAUAUCAAGAGGAACACCUGAGGUGAAGACGGGUUGCUGGGCUGACACUGACGCUGAGGCGCGAAAGCCAGGGGAGCAAAUGGG